rfam:Pristionchus pacificus strain PS312 contig10044, whole genome shotgun sequence.
UCUUCAUUCCACGUGCUCUCUCGCCGGUCAGAGAGUGGUGAGAGAGCACGUAAAAUGAAGAGA